rnacentral:piRNA from 1 species
UAAUAAAUGUGGACUAUUCAAUGGUAUUA